rnacentral:rRNA from 1 species
GACGAACGCUGGUGGCGUGCUUAACGCAUGCAAGUCGAACGGAAAGGCCCUGCUUUUGUGGGGUGCUCGAGUGGCGAACGGGUGAGUAACACGUGAGUAACCUGCCCUUGACUUUGGGAUAACUUCAGGAAACUGGGGCUAAUACCGGAUAGGAGCUCCUGCUGCAUGGUGGGGGUUGGAAAGUUUCGGCGGUUGGGGAUGGACUCGCGGCUUAUCAGCUUGUUGGUGGGGUAGUGGCUUACCAAGGCUUUGACGGGUAGCCGGCCUGAGAGGGUGACCGGCCACAUUGGGACUGAGAUACGGCCCAGACUCCUACGGGAGGCAGCAGUGGGGAAUAUUGCACAAUGGGCGGAAGCCUGAUGCAGCAACGCCGCGUGCGGGAUGACGGCCUUCGGGUUGUAAACCGCUUUCGCCUGUGACGAAGCGUGAGUGACGGUAAUGGGUAAAGAAGCACCGGCUAACUACGUG